GCCCCCGGUGGACGGAUCAGACAAGUUUCUGUGAUCUUCUAUUCCGAAGGUCGGAGGUUCGAAUCCUCCCGGGGGCGCCA
rnacentral:tRNA from 1 species